AGCCUGAUGCAGCGACGCCGCGUGAGGGAUGACGGCCUUCGGGUUGUAAACCUCUUUCAGCAGGGAAGAAGCCACAAGUGACGGUACCUGCAGAAGAAGCGCCGGCUAACUACGUGCCAGCAGCCGCGGUAAUACGUAGGGCGCAAGCGUUGUCCGGAAUUAUUGGGCGUAAAGAGCUCGUAGGCGGUUUGUCGCGUCUGCUGUGAAAGCCCGGGGCUCAACCCCGGGUCUGCAGUGGGUACGGGCAGACUAGAGUGCAGUAGGGGAGACUGGAAUUCCUGGUGUAGCGGUGAAAUGCGCAGAUAUCAGGAGGAACACCGAUGGCGAAGGCAGGUCUCUGGGCUGUUACUGACGCUGAGGAGCGAAAGCAUGGGGAGCGAACAGGAUUAGAUACCCUGGUAGUCCAUGCCGUAAACGUUGGGCACUAGGUGUGGGGGACAUUCCACGUUCUCCGCGCCGUAGCUAACGCAUUAAGUGCCCCG
rnacentral:rRNA from 1 species